UCAUCUUGGCAGGGUGCAAUGUGGUGUUCGGGAGGGUCCAUUCGUGCCUUGAGCUCUGGUGUCCAAGUCCCCCUGACCGGGGCCAUCGCCCAUUGAGGGUGCAAGGCCUGUUGGGCAGGGCUGUGUCUCCGAUCUCGGCGCGUUGGGUCCCUUCCUUGGAGUCGGGUUGCUUGAGAGUGCAGCCCAAAGUGGGUGGUAAACUCCACCUAAGGCUAAAUACUUUCCACGAGACCGAUAGCAAACAAGUACCGUGAGGGAAAGUUGCAAAGAACUUUGAAGAGAGAGUUCAAGAGUGCGUGAAACCGUUCGGAGGUAAACGGGUGGGAGCGCGAAGGUCGAACGGACGGGGAGGGAUUCAACUUGGCGUGGCGGCUGGCCGAGCCGGUUUGUGUCUGGGCGUGCGGGCCUCCCUUCGCGGGGAGAGCCGGCCGUCCCGCGUUCUGCUCCGGUCGUAGUCUGCCGUGCCUUGUGCAUUUCCCUAUUCCCCCUCUCCUAGUAGGACGCCGCGACCGGCUGUCGAGGGGAGCCCACGAGAUGGUUGGGGCAUUUGCGCGGACGAGUAAGGGAUUAGUUCUCUGCGUCCGGUCUGUCUGUCUCCUUCCGCGCGCGGGUCGCUCCCUCUGGCCGAGGAAAUGUGCAAGCUGGGCCCUUGUGGU
rnacentral:rRNA from 1 species